UUGGAACACUUCGAGAAAAUCAGCUCAAAAUCACGAGAAACUUCUCUACGAAUUUGAUAAUGACAAUCUAAUAAAAAAAAUAUGCGCCAAAUUCACCUUCAAAUUUGGAGCACUUCAACUAAAUCAACACAAAACGCCAGAAAGAACAAGUUUGGGGUUUUUGAGGCAAAUCGGUGAAGUUUUUUUCAGAUGGAGGAGAAGAUAUUAGAUGUCAAAAAAGGUGGGGUAGGUUUUAUUUCAAUGUGGCAGUCCAUGUCACCAAUUAAAUAAAUUUAAAAUGGGCAAAAAUAUGGCGUGGAGGUCUGUUAGUUUUUAAGGGUAGAUAUGACCCAUUUUAUUAACGGCAGGAGUAUAUUUGACCCUAUUUGCAAACGGAGGGUAAAAUUGACCCAUUUUUUAUAGUUGAAGGGUAAUUUUAACCUUUUUCCAUUUUUAAAACUUGUGUCCUAAAUCUUUAAAUAAAUAACUCAAAAGUCCCUUUUAAUUCCAUCCCCCAAGUAACCUAUGGUUAACUGAGCAAUGCGGACUGGGGGCUUGUAAACAUAAUUUUGGGACAAGGUAGGGGUUUUCGCAAUUUCAGUUAUAAGGUGUGUAACUAAUGUUUUCACGUUUUACUCUCCCUGUUUUAAAACUGUAAGGGCUCGUUUUGUUGGAAAUAACUUAUCCCAGAAUAACUAAUUCCGGCAUAAGUUAUUCCGAGAUUAGUUAUUCCACCCUCAAGGUGGGAUAAAAAAAUCACUCUAAUCCCGAGAUUAGUUAUCCCGAGUUUUUUUUUUCAACUAAACGUGAAAUAAGACGGUACUAAUUUUUAUCCCAGGACUAUUUUUGUCUAUCCAUCGUACCAAACGAGUCCUAAGUUGUAUAUUUGUUUAGGAUAGUCCUCUAACCGUUGACGGUGCUUGGUUAAAAAGCAAUUCCCUUUUUUUAACCCUAGACUAGAAGCUUUGGAUCUCAGUUUCGUGCAGCCGGUAACUGAAGAAUCGUUUUUUGGAGACCCUGUUCAAGGCAGAUGGGCGAUGAUGCCUCUAUUUGGAGGGUUUCCUAUGAGAAGGGCAGGCAGAUGAUCUGCCGCAGAUCCUCAAGUCCUUGAUUGCAAUUUGGAAGAUGACUAGGUUCCCAGGUCCAUUUGGUGUUGGUGCUACACAAUAUGUCGUAGCGGGCAAUGACUUUUGGUGGACGAGUUUUAGUUUCAUUGCCUUUUACAGUACGGUUGGUGCGGUUAUAUAUAUUUUCUAAAAUUAGUACAAUACUAUCCGCCGGAAGACAUGUUACAAAAAAACUAUAUGGUGCACUUAGUUGAAGGUUGAAUUAUUUACCUAGAGGUCUAGGGCAUCAAGCCCCCACUUAAUACAUAUUUUCCUUUCAAUUUUUUUUUUCCAGUGGUGAACCCAUAUUCCAGAAAUCUCAAAUUCGCCUCUGCCUACAUAUACUUAUAUAAUAGAUAAUUACGAUUUCGACUAUUCAA